GUAUUGCAUAUAAGGAGGGAAGGUUAGUACUCUCCCUGACAAGGAUGGAAGAGGCUCUGGAGCCUGACAACACUCAUGUAAUUAAGGCAUUAUCACCUACUUCGUGAUAUCUAAACAUUCUUUUUC
ensembl:snRNA